GGGUGGUUCAGUUGCUUCAAGAGGUCAAUCUCUUUAAUGCAAUCUUGCCUAGCCUUGGCAUCCAUCAUUUCAAAAAUCUGAACUUUCUUUAAUGCCACAGGUUUUCUGUCCAGAAGACAAGUUGCUUUGUAAACUUCACUGAACUGUCCUCGUCCGAUCUUCUUCUCUAUCUGAAAGUCUGCCAGUGUGCAGCGAUACGGGUAUGAUGUUAAAUGUCUCUGCGGGUCGUGCUGGAAGUCCUGGCCUGGCAGCUUGCAGAGCGCGCUGGUCUGGUCCCCCAGGUGCUGCGGGUGCUCGUGCUGCCCCUCCAUGCCCACAUGCCAAGCGCUGCCGGACCUGCGGGCUGCGGCCGGACGAGCGGCGGGGCCCGCGCGGGGCGGCCCGGAGUCGGAGCGGAGCGGCGCCGCGUCCCGGAGACAACUUCGGCCUCCCGCGCGCCC
rnacentral:lncRNA from 1 species